UCAGAAUCUUCAAUGCAGAUGUUUACCAAAAGUCACUCACGGCAAGCCAUAUGCAUUUCAUGACGCUAAAUGUAUUUAUUUUCUUAAAAAGUUGCACCAGCUGACCACCCUGGAGUUUCUACUAAUUACAUUUCUUCACAUGGCUACUGUAGAAAAUGUUCUUAUCAGCAAACGCCACAUUUCUACAUUCAUGUUACCUUGCCCUGUUCUCUAUGUACCCACAUACAAACAAUUACUACAUAUGAACUGUCUGCAACACCCCAUUAAAACAUUACAUUUUAAAACAUGACUCAUAAUUAUAACUACUAGUGCUGAACGUCACAAAAGUACAUUUAUAGCUACUACAGUUUCGCAGCGGAGUUUCACACAUUGCUUCAACAACUAAUUGAACAUGUAAUUAGUUAUACCGUCUGUUUUAUAUACCGUUCAAUAAUGAUGUGUUAUAUGGGAGUGGUUUAGCUACAUGUAACACCACUUGCACGCAGGUUGCGUAUUACGUCAGAGUUGAUACUGGACUUGGAAGAUGUAAGUCCACCAUUAAUGUCCGCUCCAGUAGAGUUCAAUAAACUCUUAUUGUUAGAAGUUAAAUCUACGGUGUUGUGAUUUUUUAGUAUCACAAAAGAUGCAACAUGGUACCAGGAGUCUUCAAACUCAUUUUAUUUAGCCAACAAGUUAGGUGUGUGAGUAAAACUUCGAACUGUUUAAACUGCGCAACAGCUAAUCAGCGUCUAGGCUAAAGUGAAUACUGGCUAGCUAGCAAGAGAGCGUGUGCGUGUUGUAGCCUAGUUGGUUAACCUCGUGGAGUGAGCAAACAGCGCAAAGAAAGAAACUUCAUGGAACGGAUCAACUAAAACCCAUUACAGAGCUGAAACAUACUGGCAACGUGGAAGAUCAAUGUAGACGUUUCAAGCAGCGUUUCUCCCUCUACGUACAAGCGAAAGGAGCGGGUGAAGAGGAUGACGAAAGGAAGGUUGCCCUGUUUUUAACAGUCGCUGGCUCGGAUGCCAUUGAUGUGUUUAACAGCUUCCAGUUGACGUAGGUGGAGCAAAAGAACUUUAAACUGGUAAUCGAAAAAUUUGACACUGUUUGUACCCCGAAAAAAAAUUAAUCAUUCAAGCGAUAUGCUAUCAACAGUAGAAUUCAGACAGAAACCAAAUCUGUUGAGGAAUUUAUUAUGGACUUAAAGGUAAAAAGCCAGUCGUGUAACUUUGGGGCUCUAGCUGAUUCGCUCAUUUGCGAUAGAAUUGUCAUGGGGGUGAGGGACAAGUGACUGCGUGAAAAGAUACUGGGGGAAACAGACUUAACACUGGAGAAAGCGAUCCAGGUUUGCCAGGCCAGAGAAGUAACGUAUUGUAUUGGAAUGAAAAUAUUGGUGACACCUAGUGGUGAUUUGAAAUACUGUAGGCCUACUUAGGAACCAAAAUAGUUUAGGUAGGAACUUUAUUUAGGGAAGCUUUAGUUUGAAGGACACUCAGACAACAAGGUACACUGUUAUAGGAAGUUCAUUUUAUUAGAGAAACAUGUGGCGUGUUGUUCAUGUUCUGGUAACAAUCCAUUCCCAUCCAUAGUGUUUCGCCCUCAAAAAGGCAUUUUCUUUUUACACUUUCUACAUAAAACUUACCAGAAGAAUCCAACCGGUCUCUGGAUCUCUUUGUGUGGUUAAGAGUUUAGCUGGCUGUAUAACUGAGCUCAAGGUGUAAGCUUAGUGAUGACAGUACAAAGUCUAUGGACUAUAGUCAGAGCAAUGCUGACCAUGCAGUGAGCCACGUUGACAGAGUAGCGAUAGUCAGGGCAAAAGCUACCAGGCAGCGCGGCGGCGAGAAGCAGGCCCAGACACACAUGUGCAGGAGCAGUGCAGAGAUGUGGCCAUGCAGACGGUGUGGCGGUGAGCACCAGCCCCGACAAUGUCCCACAUAUGGAAAGGAAUGUCACUUUUGUGGCAUGAAGAACCACUUCAACCAAUCAAAGACAACCAAAGAAGGUCCACUGCAUCGAGGAGGACGACGGAUCCAGUGAUGCAUCCGGAGAAUUAUUUGUGGGCUCGGUGGCGCUCACAGGAGAAGAGGACAAAUGGACUGCUACAUACUCAGCCAACGGCACAGACAUUGUCUUCAAGCUGUACACAGGAGCACAGGUGAAUUUAAUACCAGAGACUGACCUGCGGUUAGCGGUAAAACCUGAUGUAAAUGAACAGAAAAAAGUGAAACUGAGCAUACCGUGGAGAAACAAUUCCCACUCUAGGUACAUGUACUCUAGUGCUUGACAUUGCAGGUAAACCAAAUGAGGUGCCUUAUGUGAUUGUGAAAGGGAACAAAUCACCCAUCAUAGGGUUGAAAACCUGUAACUCCUUGGGGUUAGUGAAACGGGUACACAUUGUCAAUGGUGAUACAGAUGCAGGUGCAAAGGUAGAGGAUGCUUAUGCAGAUGUGUUUCAAGGUAUAGGGAAACAGUACAGCAUAAAGCUAGAGAAACCCAACAAACCAGUGAUACAUGCAGCUAGAAAGGUUCCACUAGCCUUAAUGAUGAAACCGAAAUCUUUGAUCCAAAAAUGUCACAGCUAAAUACAGAAUAAAGAUAUGUGUGCAGUCUACUGAAAA